UAUAUCAGACAACCAUUGUAUCAGACAACAUUAGAACUGAAUCAGUACUUUCAUUCAAAUUCUAUUACAAUAUUAUAUCAGACAACAUAAAAACAUAACCUAAAACCUAAUUAACCUACAACAUAUUUCAUCAAUGUUGUCCCAACAAAUGCAAACAAAAUAACAAACAAUAACAUCCAAUUAAUCUUCAACUGUUUCUUCAACAUCUUCACUUUCAUAUUCAAUUCUUCC
rnacentral:lncRNA from 1 species